UAUGUUAGAUUCAAUCGACUUGAGUCUGUAUGAAAUCUUAUAAAAACUCCUUUCUAUUAUUCAUAUACUACGACCAUAGAUUUUAGGACUCAGUCUUAUGAACUGCAUAGGAUCUCUUCCUAUCUAUCAAGAUCAAUAGAUCCUAUCUUGGUGCACACCCUAUUCCUACAAUAGACCUACUGUAGCCAACAUACACCGC
rnacentral:lncRNA from 1 species